AGAGUUUGAUCAUGGCUCAGGAUGAACGCUAGCUACAGGCUUAACACAUGCAAGUCGAGGGGAAACGACAUCGAAAGCUUCGCUUUUGAUGGGCGUCGACCGGCGCACGGGUGAGUAACGCGUAUCCAACCUGCCCACCACUUGGGGAUAACCUUGCGAAAGUAAGACUAAUACCCAAUGACGUCUCUAGAAGACAUCUGAAAGAGAUUAAAGAUUUAUCGGUGAUGGAUGGGGAUGCGUCUGAUUAGCUUGUUGGCGGGGUAACGGCCACCAAGGCGACGAUCAGUAGGGGUUCUGAGAGGAACGGUCCCCCANAUUGGAACUGAGACACGGUCCAAACUCCUACGGGAGCA
rnacentral:rRNA from 1 species